GCAGGGGUGGCAGAGCCUGGUCAAAUGCGCGGGACUUAAGAUCCCGUGGCUUAGUGCCUACACAGGUUCAAACUCAAUCCAAACCUAUUUGUAUAAAGUUUGGUUACGCAUGAAAAUCCUGUCCCCUGCA
rnacentral:tRNA from 1 species